GUGGGUAUAGCUCAGCAGGUUAGAGCGCCAGGUUGUGGCCCUGGAGGUCGCCGGUUCGAUCCCGGCUACUCACCCCA
rnacentral:tRNA from 1 species